rnacentral:rRNA from 1 species
AGUGAACGCUGGCGGUAGGCCUAACACAUGCAAGUCGAACGGCAGCACCGUAAGAGCUUGCUCUUACGGGUGGCGAGUGGCGGACGGGUGAGGAAUACAUCGGAAUCUACUUUUUCGUGGGGGAUAACGUAGGGAAACUUACGCUAAUACCGCAUACGACCUACGGGUGAAAGCAGGUGAUCUUUUGACCUUGCGCGAUUGAAUGAGCCGAUGUCGGAUUAGCUAGUUGGCGGGGUAAAGGCCCACCAAGGCGACGAUCCGUAGCUGGUCUGAGAGGAUGAUCAGCCACACUGGAACUGAGACACGGUCCAGACUCCUACGGGAGGCAGCAGUGGGGAAUAUUGGACAAUGGGCGCAAGCCUGAUCCAGCCAUACCGCGUGGGUGAAGAAGGCCUUCGGGUUGUAAAGCCCUUUUGUUGGGAAAGAAAAGCAGCAGGUUAAUACCCCGCUGUUCUGACGGUACCCAAAGAAUAAGCACCGGCUAACUUCGUG